rnacentral:rRNA from 1 species
UACAGAGGGUGCAAGCGUUGUUCGGAAUUAUUGGGCGUAAAGCGCGUGUAGGCGGCUUUGCAAGUCGGGUGUGAAAGCCCUCAGCUCAACUGAGGAAGUGCGCCCGAAACUGCAGAGCUUGAGUACCGGAGAGGAUGGCGGAAUUCCCGAAGUAGAGGUGAAAUUCGUAGAUAUCGGGAGGAACACCGGUGGCGAAGGCGGCCAUCUGGACGGAUACUGACGCUGAGACGCGAAAGCGUGGGUAGCAAACAGG